UUGUUGUAACAGCCCCUACAAAUUGAUCAUUACUAAUUCUACCAUUAACAAUAUACAGAUCUAAAUUUUUACAAAAUUCCAAUAAUUUGUGUCCAUAAUUAUUUAUAUUCGAAAUGUCCUUCGAAGAACGCUUAAUUGGGAUACCCAAUUCAUACAGAGCAUUAAUACUGUUCAUAUAUUUUCUGGAAUUCUCGUCGAUCAGCAGGCUGUCUAGGAUUGUAUCAUUUACAAUAAUAAAGUCAUCAUGAGUCCCUGUAUGGGCAUUAAAGUCCCCAAGUAGGCACACU
rnacentral:lncRNA from 1 species